CUGGCUUUUUCAUUUUUUUUAUUUAAUUUUAAAAGUUUAAAAUUAAUGGUCCUAAGUUGAUUAAAGUUUUUUUCUUCCUAUUGUUGGCAAGAAUCUAGAAUUUGUACAUUUAAGAAACCCUAAAUGAAAAUAAUCAAUAUUGUAAGUGCCUAAAAAAAGAACAUGCACAGAAAUUAUUAAUGUACAUGAUUAAGAAAAUAUUAUUGUAUGAUUAUCUUGAAGGUUUUGUUACGAAAACUUUUGUUUUAUUUUAGUUGUUAUUAUUGAGCUUAAACCUAAUAUCAAAAUGUUGAAAACUUCAAGAUCUCUUCAUAAUAUUGUCAAAGCUUACAUAUGAAAUUAUUAGUCUGUCCUGUGAUAACUAAAAACUUUUUAUUGGAAAUAUUUGAUACAAAAAUCCAGAAAAACAAUUUUAAUUUUAUUUUCUUUAGAAUUUAUGCUUAAACAAUUCACAUUCUUUGUUGCAAAUUAUUAGUACUAAAUAUAUAUAAUUUUAGUGAAUAAAUUAUUGGUUUAGAAAAAUAA